AUGGCAUUAUAGGCAUAAUAAAAAUAUUCUCUGCGAUACAGAGAAAAUUAGCAUGGCCCCUGUGCAAGGAUGACACCCAAAUUUGUGAAGCGUUCCUUAUUUAA